UACAGAGGGGGCAAGCGUUGUUCGGAAUUACUGGGCGUAAAGGGCGCGUAGGCGGCCUGUUAAGUCGAACGUGAAAUCCCCGGGCUCAACCCGGGAACUGCGUCCGAUACUGGCAGGCUUGAAUUCGGGAGAGGGAUGCGGAAUUCCAGGUGUAGCGGUGAAAUGCGUAGAUAUCAGGAGGAACACCGGUGGCGAAAGCGGCUCACUGGCCGGAAUCUGACACUGAGGUGCGAAAGCUAGGGUAGCAAACGGG
rnacentral:rRNA from 1 species